UAGAUUCCAGAGGUUGAUGUAUUAGCCACCGCAACUUAAGGUCUAACAAUUGUAAUGACACAUUUGAGGAACAUUUCAAGAGGCUUGUUUGAAUGAAGAUAACCUGCUUGGCUUAGCGGCUCGCCUCAGUCCGGGUGGUGGAGGACGAAUCUCAGUUGCCAUCAACCCACGUCAAACCACGCAUCUUAUCACGCGGCUUGUUGAGCGCGUUACCACGGAGACAUAGCAUGCGUGGGGGCUUCCCACCAUCCACCACGGCAUCCAUCCACAACUCACCACGCGCCCCACCGAGAGCGAGAACCACAACGAGGUUACAUGUGACUUUACCCUGCCUAACCUGACAAAUUUGGUUGCUUGGGAGACCUGGCUGGAGACACUCAGCAUUACCUGGAUUCAAACUCACGAACUCCAGGAGUGAUAAGUCAGCGUAUUUACUCGCUGAGCUAUCCAGGCCCCGUGGAAAAUAAUUUAUUUUUAAAUACAUUUUCCCUGCAUAGAUUUUAAAGCUUUAAAACCUACAGACACACACAUGAUACAUUUUAAGGAAGACUGUUUUAUUGUUCAACUAAAUCCAUUUGUUUACUUCCAGUGCACUUUUAUCUGUUUAGUCCAGUGCCCUUAGAUAUUCCCUGUUGUUGUAGGAAGGAGAGAUAGAAAUAGAUAAGAUAGAAGAUAGAAAUGGACAGAGAAUUUUAUAUAUAUAUAUAUAUAUAUAUAUAUAUAUAUAUAUAAAACUGAGGACAAAAUAUUUUUACAAACCUUUAAAUAUAGUCAGAAUUAACAAGGCUAUAACAACUUUGAAACUGCACCAUGAACUCCUGAAAGUUAAACACAUGCAACAAGCCAAUAAUAUUUACUUUAGGAGAAUGAGAUGGGAGUGGGGUGUCAGAUGAAGACUUAAAACAUCUGUAAGAAAGGGGCCUGGGUAGCUCAGAGAGUAAAGAUGCUGACUACCACCCCUGGAGUUGCGACUUUGAAUCCAGGGCAUGCUGAGUGACUCCAGCCAGGUCUCCUAAGCAACCAUAUUGUCCUGGUUGCUGGGUAGAGUCACGAUGGGGUAACCUCCUUGUGGUCGCUAUAAUGUGGUUCGCUCUCGGUGGGGCACAUGGUGAGUUGUGCGUGGAUGCUGCGGUGGAUGGCGUGAAGCCUCCACACACGCUAUGUCUCUGUGGUAACGUGCUCAACGAGCCACGAGAUAAGACGCACAGAUUGACGGUCUCUGAGGCGGAGGCAACUAAGAUUUGUCCUCUGCCACCCAGAUUGAGGCGAGUCACUACGCCACCACGAGGACUUAGAUCACAUUGGGAAUUGGGCAUUCUAAAUUGGGGUGAAAAGGGGGAGGAAAAAAAAACAUCUGUAAGAUUCUUUAAAAUUAACAUGCACUCUAUUCCUGUGUAUCAUAUUAAGUUUGUGUAAUUAAACAAUUAUCAAAAUAUUAGAACCACGCUUGGAUUCAAUACAUGUGAAGCUCAAUCGACAGUAUUUGUGACAUAAUAUUGAUUUCCACAAAAGUGUCUCCAGUGAGGCACUUACAAUGGAAGUGAAUGGGGGCCCAUUUUUGACCGUUAAAAUACUCACGGUUUCAAAAGUAUAGCCAAUAGACAUAAACAAUCUGUGUGUCAACAUGAUUUUAGAGUGAUAAAAUCACUUCCUAACCUUUUCUAUGUAAAGUUAUAGCCAAUUAUACUACUUUGUUUCUAUGACGAUGUAAUGCCAACAAACCCUGAUAUGAAUACAAUUUAAACAACUUUACUGCUCAAAUAAUACAUGAGUUUUAACAAGAUGAAAUGUAAGUGAUUUUAUAAUAUUAUAAGCUUCACAUUUCUGCCUUUUAAACCGUUGAAAAAUUGGCCCCAUUGACUUCCAUUGUAAAUACCUCAUUGCACAGGCGUAGAUUUAGGUUGGGAUGAUAGGAACAUGUCCCUACCAACUUUCAGAAAAUCGAAAAUGUUCCGACCAGCAUUUUGCCAUUUUUACCACUUUUUAUUUUCAUUUUAAUGACUAUUAAAAAUUCUCAGUAUCAUUAUUUAUGGUCCAACAUUUUGUGAAGCAGCGCAUAAACAGCAUUGUCGCUUAGCACCGGUUACUUUUCUCAGCACUGUUCAGGAUGCAUGAAUCACAAGUUGUUUGUGAUUUACUGUAUAUUUUAAUCAUUUUCUGGAGAUUAC